ACGAAGGGGGCUAGCGUUGCUCGGAAUUACUGGGCGUAAAGGGCGCGUAGGCGGAUGUCUUAGUCAGAGGUGAAAGCCCAGGGCUUAACCUUGGAACUGCCUUUGAUACUGGGCAUCUUGAGUACGGGAGAGGUGAGUGGAACUCCGAGUGUAGAGGUGAAAUUCGUAGAUAUUCGGAAGAACACCAGUGGCGAAGGCGACUCACUGGCCCGUUACUGACGCUGAGGCGCGAAAGCGUGGGGAGCAAACAGGAUUAGAUACCCUGGUAGUCCACGCUGUAAACGAUGAGUGCUAGUUGUCGGCAUGCAUGCAUGUCGGUGACGCAGCUAACGCAUUAAGCACUCCGCCUGGGGAGUACGGUCGCAAGAUUA
rnacentral:rRNA from 1 species